rnacentral:tRNA from 1 species
AUUUAAGUAGUUUAAAUAAAAACAUUGAUUUGUGGAGUCAAAAUUAUAAAUUUUAUCUUAGAUA